AGAUAACAUUAGCCAACUCCUAGAUUUAAUACUGGACUAUUCUAUUACUAAAUAGAAGCAAUAAGGUUAAUAUGAGUAACAAGAAAUAUUUUCUCCUCGCACAAGUUUAAGUCAGUAACUGAUAAAACCCUGACCGUUAACAGUAAAUAAAAAUAACCCAACAAUAAAUGAUUUAUUACUUAUACUGUUAACCCAACACAGGAGUGCACCCAGGAAAGAUUCAAAGAAGUAAAAGGAACUCGGCAAACACUAAACCCCGCCUGUUUACCAAAAACAUCACCUCCAGCAUCCCUAGUAUUGGAGGCACUGCCUGC
rnacentral:rRNA from 1 species